rnacentral:rRNA from 1 species
AACGUAGGAGACAAACGUUAUCCGGAGUUACUGGGCGUAAAGGGCGUGUAGGUGGUUUCGUAAGUCUGGCGUGAAAUUUUUCGGCUUAACCGGGAAAGGUCGUCGGAUACUGCGGGACUAGAGGACGGUAGAGGCGUGUGGAAUUCCGGGUGUAGUGGUGAAAUGCGUAGAGAUCCGGAGGAACACCAGUGGCGAAGGCGACACGCUGGGCCGUACCUGACACUGGAUGCGCGACAGCAUGGGGAGCAAACAGG